rnacentral:rRNA from 1 species
AUGAACGCUAGCGACAGGCCUAACACAUGCAAGUCGAGGGGCAGCACAAGGAGCAAUCUGAGGUGGCGACCGGCGCACGGGUGAGUAACACGUAUGCAACCUGCCUGUAAGCGGGGAAUAACCCGUUGAAAGACGGACUAAUACCGCAUAAUACUAAAUUACUGCAUGGUAAUUUAUUUAAACAUUUAUGGCUUACAGAUGGGCAUGCGCAUGAUUAGCUAGUUGGAGAGGUAACGGCUCCCCAAGGCAACGAUCAUUAGGGGUUCUGAGAGGGAGGUCCCCACACUGGUACUGAGACACGGACCAGACUCCUACGGGAGGCAGCAGUGAGGAAUAUUGGUCAAUGGACGAGAGUCUGAACCAGCCAAGUCGCGUGCAGGAAGAAUGUCCUAAUGGAUUGUAAACUGCUUUUGCAGGGGAAUAAAGUGCAUCACGUGUGAUGUUUUGUAUGUACUCUGCGAAUAAGGAUCGGCUAACUCCGUGCCAGCAGCAGC